UACGUAGGGGGCGAGCGUUGUCCGGAAUUACUGGGCGUAAAGGGCGUGUAGGCGGCCGACCAAGUCCGGUGUGAAAUUUCAGGGCUCAACCCUGGACGUGCACUGGAAACUGGUUGGCUUGAGUGCAGGAGAGGAAAGUGGAAUUCCCAGUGUAGCGGUGAAAUGCGUAGAUAUUGGGAGGAACACCAGUGGCGAAGGCGACUUUCUGGCCUGUAACUGACGCUGAGGCACGAAAGCGUGGGGAU
rnacentral:rRNA from 1 species